rnacentral:rRNA from 1 species
UGAGUAACCUGCCCUUAACUCUGGGAUAAGCCUGGGGAAACUGGGUCUAAUACCGGAUAUGACUCCUCAUCGCAUGGUGGGGGGUGGAAAGCUUUAUUGUGGUUUUGGAUGGACUCGCGGCCUAUCAGCUUGUUGGUGAGGUAAUGGCCCACCAAGGCGACGACGGGUAGCCGGCUGAGAGGGUGACCGGCCACACUGGGACUGAGACACGGCCCAGACUCCGUACGGGAGCAG